GAAUCAGUCACUGUAAAGGCCACACUUUGUCUUUCUUCUGAAAGGAUACAUGAAAUCAUAUGUACAAACAAACAUAACAUAUAUAAGCUUACCGCACGGCAUUCUGAUAUGUAUACCCCAGUCAGAAAGUCAACUAAUUUAUAAUUCUGUUAAAGAAAAUUGUGAAUUAGGAGAAAAAAUAAUGAAAAUGGAAAAGGAAAUAACUCGAUUACGUAAGAAUGAACGUUUGUCAGUCUUGCUUAUGUCAGAUUUAAAAGACGAAAUAUUUCGACUAAGAUAGAAAAAUCAACUGUAUACUAGAGCAGUGUCUUUCUUAGUGACAGGGAGGAAUAAAGAAAAUCAGAUUGUCAACAGAGUGGAUCAAAUUAUCGUGAUAAACAAUGUUCUGAAUAAUGACGGAGAGGGAUAUAACGAGACAACGGGAAUAUUUACAGCACCGGUGGCUGGAAUUUACGCUGUUUUCUUUGCUGUGGAAGUCUCAUUUCAUAAAUAUUUAAGUAGA